UACAGAGGUCCCAAGCGUUGUUCGGAUUCACUGGGCGUAAAGGGUGCGUAGGUGGUGAGGCAAGUCGGAUGUGAAAUCUCCAGGCUCAACCUGGAAACUGCAUUGGAAACUGCCUUGCUCGAGGGUUUGAGGGGGGACUGGAAUACUUGGUGUAGCAGUGAAAUGCGUAGAUAUCAAGUGGAACACCAGUGGCGAAGGCGAGUCCCUGGAAAACACCUGACACUGAGGCACGAAAGCUAGGGGAGCAAACAGG
rnacentral:rRNA from 1 species